rnacentral:rRNA from 1 species
GAUGAACGCUGGCGGCGUGCCUAACACAUGCAAGUCGAACGGAGAUUACGGACGGAAGUUUUCGGAUGGAAGACUGUAAUUCUUAGUGGCGGACGGGUGAGUAACGCGUGGGCAACCUGCCCUAUACAGGGGGAUAGCAGCUGGAAACGGCUGGUAAGACCGCAUAAGUCGGUUAAAUCGCAUGAUUUGAUCGGGAAAUGAGCAAUCAGGUAUAGGAUGGGCCCGCGUCCGAUUAGCCAGUUGGCAGGGUAAAAGCCUACCAAAGCGACGAUCGGUAGCCGGACUGAGAGGUCGGACGGCCACAUUGGGACUGAGACACGGCCCAAACUCCUACGGGAGGCAGCAGUGGGGGAUAUUGCACAAUGGAGGAAACUCUGAUGCAGUGACGCCGCGUGAGUGAAGAAGUAUUUCGGUAUGUAAAGCUCUAUCAGCAGGGAAGAUGAUGACGGUACCUGACUAAGAAGCCCCGGCUAACUACGUG